CUCUAUCUCCGAGUAUUGUUUCUCUUAUCACCCUCUUGUCUGCCUACUUCUCUCCCUCUCAAAAUAAUCUACUUUCUAGAUCAAAACAACCAAUUGGUCCGCCUAGCGUUGCGCCCGCCAUCGAGGGGCUCGAUGGCAUGAUCGUCCAAUGCUUAUUCAAACUCCAACAUUUCUUUUAUGGGGAUUUUUGGUUAUUUUUUGAUUUUUUUAGGAUUUUAAAGCAUGUCUUUUUUUUUCCUUUUUCUUUUUCUUUUUUCUGACUAAUAUUCUUGGGGCGAUGAUGCAUAUGAGUAACUUGGACAUGUGCAAUCUGAGGAAGGUGGAUAUUGCGCGCGAUGAACAGUUGUUCUUAUGAAAUAUUUUUUUUCACCUGACUGAAAUGCCAAGGUUUAAAUAUGAAGACGUAUACAAGCUGCUCCUACGGUGGACGAACCUCCAACCACAUAUUAAUUGUAGAUGCAAUUUGUAGGUACUGUUGAUCAUAUUUUAGCUCCUAUGGACAACUUCCUGCUCAAGAAUUUUACGUUUGCGGAGGUGAAUUUUCAUUUCCGCAAGGGAUGGGCGAUAGAGGGGUGGGAGCAAAAGGAAUGGAAACCUUUUUGGGUUGCUUCGUGUUUCCUCUGCUACUCUUUACAAGUUUGCUUCUUUGAUUAAAUAUUUAAGUUGCACAGCUUUUGCUUGUAAUGAUUUAUGGGGUUUUCUUGAUGAGACAUUUUGAUAUAGGUUUUUAUUGGUAUCAAAGUCAGACUAGAUAAUUGUUGCCUCAUCCUGCAUAUUAAAAAAAACAACUAAGAUUAGCCCAAGAACGGGGCAUAUGUAUAGAAUAGGUUAUCUGCUUUUCAGAAAGACGCCAGUUGACUCCAAAUACAUUGAUUCUCAAGUCCUAAUUUUGACCAAUCUCAUUUCAUGUGAUCACUAUGGCCCCAAAACGUCGUCCCCCUACUAUAGUUGGGCCUGAGGGACAACAACUUGAUCAGGCUGAUCUUGCAGAAGCGAUUAGGGAGUUAGUAGCUCAUAAUCGUCAGAGGAUGGGCAACAGCAUGU